rnacentral:rRNA from 1 species
UACGUAGGGGACAAGCGUUAUCCGGAAUCACUGGGCGUAAAGGGUGCGUAGGCGGUCUAGCAAGUCAGAAGUGAAAGGCAUUGGCUCAACCAAUGUAAGCUUUUGAAACUGUUAGACUUGAGUGCAGGAGAGGAAAGUGGAAUUCCUAGUGUAGCGGUGAAAUGCGUAGAUAUUAGGAGGAACACCAGUGGCGAAGGCGACUUUCUGGACUGUAACUGACGCUGAGGCACGAAAGCGUGGGGAGCGAACAGG